rnacentral:tRNA from 1 species
GAGGGUAUAGUUCAGUGGUAGAGCACAUGCUUAGCAUGCAUGAGGUCCUGGCUUCAGUCCCCAGUACCUCCA